rnacentral:ncRNA from 1 species
AUGAUAGAGGCGCGGCUGUCAGGAGUAGGCUUUCUCAGAGAGACAGGCAUCGCAAAAGCCCAAAGGGGCUGCCGCCGAAGCGCCAAAGAAGUGCCUGCUUUUUUGGUUGCUGGUUCGUCGGAUAAGAUCCGCCGGACUGUCACAGAAAUGUGGAGUGCUGUC